rnacentral:rRNA from 1 species
CUACGGGGUGCUCCAGUAAGGAAUAUUGGUCAAUGGACGCAAGUCUGAACCAGCCAUGCCGCGUGAAGGAUGAAGGUCCUCUGGAUUGUAAACUUCUUUUAUAGGGGGCGAAAAAAGGGAAAUCUUUCUCACUUGACAGUACCCUAUGAAUAAGCACCGGCUAACUCCGUGCCAGCAGCCGCGGUAAUACGGAGGGUGCAAGCGUUAUCCGGAUUCACUGGGUUUAAAGGGUGCGUAGGCGGGCGUAUAAGUCAGUGGUGAAAUCCUGGAGCUUAACUCCAGAACUGCCAUUGAUACUAUAUGUCUUGAAUAUGGUGGAGGUAAGCGGAAUAUGUCAUGUAGCGGUGAAAUGCAUAGAUAUGACAUAGAACACCUAUUGCGAAGGCAGCUUACUACGCCUAUAUUGACGCUGAGGCACGAAAGCGUGGGGAUCAAACAGGAUUAGAUACCCUGGUAGUC